AUAUUUGUCAGGCUUGUGAUUCUCCUUCCAUGGCAUAGAAAAUAGUAUCAAUCGGUAACUGGAUCUCCAUGCGUCUGAGUCGGAUAAAGAAACAGAGUAUAUGAUCGGACACUUUUCCGGCGCCGGCAAUCUUUCGCCGGUUUUUCAGGUUUCCGGUGAUGGUUUUUGAAUAAAAUUGUUCUUUUUAUUCAAACCCCUAAAUUGAUUAACCCUUCGAAUUAAAUCUUGUUGAUUUUUUGUGACUCAGCUUUUUGAAACCCUAGUAAGCUGCUACAGUUUAAAUCCCAAAAUUUGAACCCUAAAUUGCUGUAACUAAUAGACCAUUAAGAGCAUGUUGCUAAGUCUGUUCUUAAUUGAUUGGACUAAUUUUUUUCUUUAAGUAAAACUAAAUUUGCUGAUAAAUUUUUCCUUCAAAAUUUAGUUUUUUUCUGUGUGCUGUUGAGUUUAACAAGCAUUUCUGAUUUUAAUAAUAAAGUAAAUAACUGUGAGCUGUGAGAAGCAUUUAACUAGGGCUUCUUUAGUGUUCACUUUUAAUUAGUUUUUACUUCUUUUAUGCUAUAGCUUACUGGUGAUUUCUUCAGUCUUGUAAUGAUUAGUUUCAUUCAUUUCCCAAAGUUUUGAACUUUUUAUUUUCAAUUCCAUUAUGAUUCCAAAGGAUUAUCAAGUUAUGUUGCAGGAAAGUGAAAGGUUAUUAAAGUUUCAUGAUAGGAUUUCGUAGUUGUUGAUUACUUUUCAUAUUUGCUGAAAUCGGCUUGUUUAAUUAGCUGUUAUACCUGUUAUGGUGCAGAGUGUAGCGUCCUGUUGGGGAGAAGUAUUGUGUGAUUCUACCAGUUUAUUUCUUGUCAAUACAUUAAGGCGAUAGUGGGCUCUCAUGUCUCAGAAAUAGUAAAAGCUAUAUUGACGUGCCUUUUCUUAUUAGAUAUAUGUUGAAGUAUGGAUACUCUUAUGUAUAAGUAGAUAUUUAGAAUGGAAUAAAACUUAUCCUACUAUAGAAUCUUACUAUGAAAAUAAGAUGUGUAGAUGGAAAUGAGCGACAGAAGUAUGAUUGCAUCUACGUAUGCAUCAAUUGCAUACCAGAAUUGCUAUGAUAUUGCCUCACUAGAUCUGAUUACUAAUAAUCUGAUGCAUUUAUUACCAAGUGAAAACACUUCAUCAUAUCACACUUUCUGGUUGGUUAUAAAUGGUGAAAGAUUCAUAUCCUAACACAUGUGUUUAGUUUUUUUCAGAUCGAUCAAUCUCGUUCCUUUUUCUUUCUUAGAAGAUGCUAGAAAUGGUGGUCCGUCUCAUCAAAUGAUAAUCAUUCAUGUUAUAUGUAAGGAGAAUCACAAACCUGACAAAUAUGUGUGACUAUCUCUAAAAGAAAGAAUACAGUAUUUCCUGGUGUUUAGAUAAAUUUUUGUCAUUUCAUUUACAAAAGAAUGCCCUGUAUGUGAAAAAAAUGUCAUAUCGCUUUCUUGAAAAAGACACAUUUGUCAGGCUUGUGAUUUUCCUCUAAUGGCAUGGAAAAUAUUAUCAACUGGUGAGUGGACCUCCAUUCAUCUGAGUUGGAAAACGGAACGGGUCAUUGAUCGGGUACUUCUCCGGCGCUGGAGCUGGAGCACUUUCACCGAUUUUCAAGAUUUCAGUGAUGUUUUUGAGUCGGUGAAAUUGUUUUUUUCCUUAGAACCCUAGAUUGAUUAACCCUUUGAGUGAUUCUUAUCCUGUUCCAUGAAUUAUUUCUUGUUUUUUUGUGUGGAUGUGUGCAGAUUUUGGAACCUUAUUAACUGCUUCAAUUUAAUUACCAAAUCUUGAAUCCAAAUUUGCUUUUAGAAGAAGCUAGGAAGAUUUUGAUAAUGUAAUUUCUGGAAAUUGUUCUUUUAUUGACUGUUAUGAUGUAUGUAUCUAUAAAUUCGAACUCUAGAAGAUUAAGUUAGCUUACUAGUGCAUCCACGAAACCGUAGAUGAAACUAAUUUGAAUUAUUUUACCGAUUACGAUUAGUAAGCUCUAUUGCAGGAAAAGGAUAUGUUUCUAAAACCCGACGAUAGGAUUGCUUGGUAAAUGAUUUCAUACUCAUCUUUGAUAAAAUCGUCUUGUUACUGACCUGCUAUUUUUGAGCUUCUGCUUCUUAACAUUUUUAUGUCAGUAUUAUCGUAUUCUGUUUUUUGUUACUUGGCAGACUUUGGGUUUCCUUCAACACUUCCACAUACGGAUGGCUCAUUUGAAGGAGUUUCUUCUGAAACAAGAGCCCGUCCAAAUGUAAAACCUGUCUGGAUACGUCCUGCUAUUCUAGAUUCAUAAAUGUUUGAGGAGAAGCAGCCACUUUGGAAUUAUCUUUGGUAUAUCUAAGGAAUAGAUUGCAUGCUGAUGAUAUAUCUGAAGUCUGAACAAAGUGGAGAAUGGAGACUCGUAAUCUUGAAGUGUUAUCAGGUUUUGGUGCACAAGGCAAUUCCACCUUUAUUGCUAAAGCUAUUGGCUGAAGCUUUUCAGACCACUUUGAGGGAUUGCCGCCGCCUCCUAAGCCUAGUAUAUUUCAUGUCUUCGGCUUAUCAUUUCCCCCAGGUAUCCUUCUGUUUUUUGUAGUUUUAUGAACGUGUUAUCGAAACGAAUUGGCAGGAUAUCGAAAACCUGUGAGGGUAAAGUCAAGCUAAUAUAUAGGGAUUGUGGCCAAGUGGAGAUGUGGUGGUUUGGAUAGUUUGUAGUUUGCUUUCAUAUUAGGUCAGCAAAUUGUUCAGGUCUCUGAGCUCAAGAGGCGACUAAAAUCGUAUAUUUGAAUCCUUAUUGUCCAUGUCGCUUGAUUUAACCGUCUUACUAUGAUAUUUUGUUCAAGAAUUUGUUGUAAUGCUUAAAUAAUGAAUUGAAUAUUCAGGUAACUAAAAAGAAAAAAUAAUUUGAGCUCUUUUA